CAGAAAAUACUAACUAAGGCCUUGUUUAGUUGGGGAAUUUGGGAGGUGCCAAAUUACUGUUACAGCACUGUAGCACACUGUAGCGUUUCGUUUGUAUUUGUGAAUUAUUGUCCAAAUAUUGACUAAUUAGGCUCAAAAGAUUCGUCUCGCAAAGUACAACAAAACUGUGCAAUUAGUUUUUAAUUUCAUCUACAUUUAGUACUCCAUGCAUGUACCGCAAGUUUGAUGUGAUGGGGAAUCUUCUUUUUGCAUAGUGUCAAAGUUGGGAGUUGGGAGUAACUAAACAGGGCCUAAUUGGAUCGUUCGGCGCCGAAUCUGACGUGGUUGUGAUGAUGCAUGCUUUCCCUUCACUUCGGACUUUUGUUUAGUCACUUAUGGAGAGACGGAUUACGCAAUCAGAACUAUUAGUAUACUCAGAACUGUAGUUUCCUUAUCAACUGGAGUAAGACAGUAGAACUCAUGGAUACGUAUCAUUUAUUACGCUUACAAAACACAAUAGCUUCCCCGAAAAUUGCUCGGAAUUGGAAAAAUAGCUUCCCGCAGUCUUACCUCGGCCUGCCACUGUCCUGUGAGAAGCUGAAGAUUACGGCUUUCCACCCAUACAUCGCCCGCGCGGAUCGUUACUUGGCUGGCUGGCAGGCGUCACUACUGAAUCCAAUGGGGAGAACGGUGCUGAUCAACUCAGUUCUGGAUGGACCACUCUCUUAUCUCAUCAGCGCAAUUUCGCUGCCACCAGGCGUUAUCGCCCAGUUCGACAAACGCCGUCGAGGUUUCCUCUGGACAGGUGAAGACAAAGGGACUGGUGCUAGCUGUCUUGUUGCUUGGGACACUGUAAAGCGCAGCAGAGAUCAAGGGGGUCUGGGCAUCAAGGACAUUGGCGUGCAGAACGCAUGUCUCCUGCAGCUAAUUCACCGUCUUCAUCAGGGCACAGCGUCAUCCUGGGUGCGCCAGCACGCAUGCAUUGCGACUAUGGAGGGAGAACUCCAAGGACAUCACUGGGGUGUCCUGAAAUCACUACUGCCAACCUACCAGGCCAUCACCACGGUUCGAAUCGGGGAUGGGUGCACAACAUCCUUUUGGUUUGAUGUCUGGUAUGAGGAUGACUGUCUGUCAGAGAAAUUCCCAGCUCUCCUCACCCAUUUCCGGAAGACCAAUCAAACGGUGCACGACAUGGUGGUUCAUGGCCCGGAGCUGUACAUGGUGUCGCGGAUCUCGCCGACUGCCCAGGCAGAACUGAGGGCGAUGCUGGAGAUCAUCGCUCAGACAACACUCUCCAGUGCCCCUGAUACUCGACUGAGCCCAUUCCUGCGGCCUGACGGGAAGCUGCACACCUCUUCGAUCUACAAGCUGCUGAGAACAACACAGGGUGAUCACGACGAUGCUGCCCAGUUCUUCGUCUGGAAGAACUUCACCCCGCCGCGCGUGCAGUUAUUUGGUUGGCUACUCACAAACGGCCGCGUCCAGAGCAGGGACAGAUUGCAGGUGAAGAAGAUUGUGCAGGACCCUACUUGCGAAGUCUGCGGGAGUAGCAUCGAAACAGCUGACCACAUUAUGUUCGAGUGCCAGUACUCGCAGGCGUUCUGGGCAGCACUGGGGUUCAGCCUGCCUGCAACCCACCGUGUCAGCACUUUCCACCAGACGCCGAAGGCGGCUGGCGUUCCAACGGAGCACUUCGAAGCUUUCGCCCUCCUUUGCUGUUGGCAGCUAUGGAAGCGUAGGAACUGGUUUGUCUUCCGGAAUGAAUCUACGACAAUGCGUCAAACUCUACAAGCAUGCAGAGAGGAGGCACGCCUCUGGGGGAGUAGG
rnacentral:lncRNA from 1 species